GGGAGAGGGAGAGACACGGAGCUGAAUUCUCCGGCAAGUAGCUGCGAUCGGCUUCAGAGAGUGAGCUCAGAGCCGGUGUGUGGGAGCGUCGCUGGGAGAAAGGAGCGGACAGAAUUCACAAAUCUCGGAUAGAGGUACUCAUGGAGUUCCUGACUCAAUAGACUUGCCAACUGCUGGCUGGGACGAUGGUUGGUCAGCCGGAAAGACACAGUCAGGGAGGUCGGAGUCUUCAAUCAAUCCUGCUGCCAGGUACAAUGGUGAUCCUGUAAGAGACCAGUGCGGAAUGGGAUGUUAUAAAUCUCAGCUGAGGCUUGCGGCCUACCAUUACCU